UACGAAGGGGCUAGCGUUGCUCGGAAUCACUGGGCGUAAAGGGUGCGUAGGCGGGUCUUUAAGUCAGGGGUGAAAUCCUGGAGCUCAACUCCAGAACUGCCUUUGAUACUGAGGAUCUUGAGUUCGGGAGAGGUGAGUGGAACUGCGAGUGUAGAGGUGAAAAUUCGUAGAUAUUCGCAAGAACACCAGUGGCGAAGGCGGCUCACUGGCCCGAUACUGACGCUGAGGCACGAAAGCGUGGGAGCAAACAGGG
rnacentral:rRNA from 1 species